AACGCACCUUGCGCCCCUUGGUAUUCCGAGGGGCACACCCGUUUGAGUGUCGUGAAAAUCUCAACCUUCUCGGUUUCUUCUGGAAACCAAAGGAGGCUUGGACUUUGGAGGCCUUUGCUGGCGUCUCUCUCUUUUGAGAGCCCAGCUCCUCUUAAAUGAAUUAGCGGGGUCCUCUUUGCUGGUCCUCGACAUGUGAUAAGAUGUUUCCAUGUCUUGGUUUCUGGCUCUGUUGCUUUUGGGACCCGCUUCUAACCGUCUCGACGAGACAACGUUUGAGCACGUCUCCCGACGCUCUCAACCUCACGAACCCUUGACCUCAAAUCGGGUGAGACUACCCGCUGAACUUAA
rnacentral:misc_RNA from 1 species